UUCGCAAUGCCCGAAAGGGUGACGAAGCGACGCCGCGUGUGGGAAGAAGGCCUUCGGGUUGUAAACCACUGUCGGGAGUUAGGAAAUGCAGGUGCGUUAAUAGCGCACUUGCUUGACUAAGGCUCCAGAGGAAGCCACGGCUAACUCUGUGCCAGCAGCCGCGGUAAUACAGAGGCGGCAAGCGUUGUUCGGAAUUAUUGGGCGUAAAGAGCACGUAGGCGGCCUUGCAAGUCAGUUGUGAAGGCCUUCCGCUUAACGGAAGAACGGCAUCUGAUACUACAGGGCUUGAGUACGGGAGGGGAGAGUGGAACUUCUGGUGGAGCGGUGAAAUGCGUAGAUAUCAGAAGGAACGCCGGCGGCGAAAGCGACUCUCUGGUCCGAAACUGACGCUGAGUGUGCGAAAGCUAGGGGAGCAAACGGGAUUAGAUACCCCGGUAGUCCUAGCCGUAAACGAUGGGCACUAAGUAGAGGGGUUUUA
rnacentral:rRNA from 1 species